rnacentral:tRNA from 1 species
ACCGAAAUAGCUUAGUUGGGAGAGCGUAUACAGGUUACUUUGUAUCAGUACGACGAAAAUUACGAUGAAAAUUUUCAUGUAAAUUAUCACUAUAAUUUUCGGCGUAAUCCUAUUGUGUGUCACACGGGCCUUAGACUAUGGAUCGAAAGGUCCCUGGUUCGAUCCCGGGUUCCGGCA